rnacentral:tRNA from 2 species
GCCGCAUUGGCGUAGUGGUAUGCGCGCCCCACUUGUAUCGCAAGAUCAUGGGGAGGUCACUCGUUCGACCCGGGUAUGUGGCA